rnacentral:rRNA from 1 species
CUACGGGCCGCAGCAGUGGGGAAUAUUGCACAAUGGGCGCAAGCCUGAUGCAGCCAUGCCGCGUGUAUGAAGAAGGCCUUCGGGUUGUAAAGUACUUUCAGCGGGGAGGAAGGGAGUAAGGUUAAUACCUUUGCUCAUUGACGUUACCCGCAGAAGAAGCACCGGCUAACUCCGUGCCAGCAGCCGCGGUAAUACGGAGGGUGCAAGCGGUAAUCGGAAUUACUGGGCGUAAAGCGCACGCAGGCGGUUUGUUAAGUCAGAUGUGAAAUCCCCGGGCUCAACCUGGGAACUGCAUCUGAUACUGGCAAGCUUGAGUCUCGUAGAGGGGGGUAGAAUUCCAGGUGUAGCGGUGAAAUGCGUAGAGAUCUGGAGGAAUACCGGUGGCGAAGGCGGCCCCCUGGACGAAGACUGACGCUCAGGUGCGAAAGCGUGGGGAGCAAACAGGAUUAGAUACCCUCGUAGUC